GAUGAACGCUGGCGGCGCGCCUAACACAUGCAAGUCGAACGAUUAAAGCACCUUCGGGUGUGUAUAAAGUGGCGAACGGCUGAGUAACACGUGGGCAACCUGCCCCUUUCAUUGGGAUAGCCACGGGAAACCGUGGAUAAUACCGAAUACUUCGAGACUUCCGCAUGGAAGACUCGAGAAAGCUCCGGCGGAGAGGGAUGGGCCCGCGGCCUGUUAGCUUGUUGGUGGGGUAACGGCCUACCAGGGCAAUGAUGGGUAGCUGGGUUGAGAGACCGACCAGCCAGAUUGGGACUGAGACACGGCCCAGACUCCUACGGGAGGCAGCAGUGGGGAAUCUUGCACAAUGGGCGAAAGCCUGAUGCAGCGACGCCGCGUGCGGGAUGAAGGCCUUCGGGUUGUAAACCGCUUUCAGCAGGGACGAGGCGAAAGUGACGGUACCUGCAGAAGAAGCCCCGGCUAACUACGUG
rnacentral:rRNA from 1 species